GCGGUGGUAGUUCAGCGGUAGAACGUCUCCUUGCCAAGGAGAAGGUCGUGGGUUCAAAUCCCAUCCGCCGCU
rnacentral:tRNA from 5 species